ensembl:lncRNA
UAAUAGAAUUGGCUAGCUGGAUGCAAAUAAAGUCAUGCCUUUUAUUUUUUCCCGUUUGCUAUUUCACAUUCCUGUCACUGAAGCAUUGUGGGCAAAGACACAGAAGGUAACUGAAACAAUGUGGUUUAAGUCAAGGUGAUUAUUAGGGGUCCAAGCACAUUGGUUUGUGUAGAUGAUGCAGUUACACAAUGAACGUGUCUCUUUUCAAGUAAAUUAUGAGUCCUUAUGUGAGUACUAUUAUAUGCACAACAUGAAAAUAGAUAACUAAUAUAGUGUCCCUUCUACACUUUUUCAGUAAUGUGUGAUAACUUGAGAAAUAUGUUGUCAAUACAAUUAAAAUAACAAAAAGUAAUGGUAUUUAGGAGAUGAUAGCUUUUGCAUAAUUAAUAUAUUGGGCUUUAUUAAAGUUUAUGAAAAAAGAAUUAAUGUUUAUGCAUUUUUUGUUUAUGCACAUAAAUGAAACAUUUUCAAGUCUUUGAACAGAUCAUGAAGUAUUUGCUAUCCUGUGGCGCCAUCGA